rnacentral:rRNA from 1 species
CCUACGGGAGGCAGCAGUGAGGAAUAUUGGUCAAUGGACGAGAGUCUGAACCAGCCAAGUAGCGUGAAGGAUGACUGCCCUAUGGGUUGUAAACUUCUUUUAUAUGGGAAUAAAACGUUCCACGUGUGGGAUUUUGUAUGUACCAUAUGAAUAAGGAUCGGCUAACUCCGUGCCAGCAGCCGCGGUAAUACGGAGGAUCCGAGCGUUAUCCGGAUUUAUUGGGUUUAAAGGGAGCGUAGGUGGAUUGUUAAGUCAGUUGUGAAAGUUUGCGGCUCAACCGUAAAAUUGCAGUUGAAACUGGCAGUCUUGAGUACAGUAGAGGUGGGCGGAAUUCGUGGUGUAGCGGUGAAAUGCUUAGAUAUCACGAAGAACUCCGAUUGCGAAGGCAGUUCACUGGACUGCAACUGACACUGAGGCACGAAAGUGUGGGUAUCAAACAGGAUUAGAUACCCCAGUAGUC